AGUGAACGCUGGCGGUAGGCCUAACACAUGCAAGUCGAACGGCAGCACAGUAAGAGCUUGCUCUUACGGGUGGCGAGUGGCGGACGGGUGAGGAAUACAUCGGAAUCUACUUUUUCGUGGGGGAUAACGUAGGGAAACUUACGCUAAUACCGCAUACGACCUACGGGUGAAAGCAGGGGAUCUUCGGACCUUGCGCGAUUGAAUGAGCCGAUGUCGGAUGAGCUAGUUGGCGGGGUAAAGGCCCACCAAGGCGACGCUCCGUAGCUGGUCUGAGAGGAUGAUCAGCCACACUGGAACUGCGACAAGGUCCAGACUCCUACGGGAGGCAGCAGUGGGGAAUAUUGGACAAUGGGCGCAAGCCUGAUCCAGCCAUACCGCGUGGGUGAAGAAGGCCUUCGGGAUGUAAAGCCCUUUUGUAGGGAAAGAAAAGCAGCAGGUUAAUACCACGCUGUUCUGACGGUACCCAAAGAAUAAGCACCGGCUAACUUCGUG
rnacentral:rRNA from 1 species